UACCAGCACCCCGAGUGGUCGGGACGUUUAUUGGGCCUAAAGCAUCCGUAGCCGGUUCUACAAGUCUUCCGUUAAAUCCACCUGCUCAACAGAUGGGCUGCGGAAGAUACUAUGGAACUAGGAGGCGGGAGAGGCAAGCGGUACUCGAUGGGUAGGGGUAAAAUCCGUUGAUCCAUUGAAGACCACCAGUGGCGAAGGCGGCUUGCCAGAACGCGCUCGACGGUGAGGGAUGAAAGCUGGGGGAGCAAACCGG
rnacentral:rRNA from 1 species